AACGAACGCUGGCGGCAGGCUUAACACAUGCAAGUCGAGCGCCCCGCAAGGGGAGCGGCAGACGGGUGAGUAACUCGUGGGAAUCUACCCAUCUCUACGGAAUAACGCAUGGAAACGUGUGCUAAUACCGUAUACGUCCUUCGGGAGAAAGAUUUAUCGGAGAUGGAUGAGCCCGCGUUGGAUUAGAUAGUUGGUGGGGUAAAGGCCUACCAAGGCGACGAUCCAUAGCUGGUCUGAGAGGAUGAUCAGCCACACUGGGACUGAGACACGGCCCAGACUCCUACGGGAGGCAACAGUGGUUAAUAUUGUGCAAUGGGCGCAAGCCUUAUCCAGCCAUGCCGCGUGAGUGAUGAAGGCCCUAGGGUUGUAAAGCUCUUUCACCGGUGAAGAGAAUGGCGGUAACCGGAGAAUAAGCCCCGGCUAACUUCGUGCCAGCCGCCGCCGUAACAC
rnacentral:rRNA from 1 species